rnacentral:rRNA from 1 species
GGGGAAUAUUGGACAAUGGGGGCAACCCUGAUCCAGCAAUGCCGCGUGAGUGAAGAAGGCCUUAGGGUUGUAAAGCUCUUUUACCAGGGAUGAUAAUGACCGUACCUGGAGAAUAAGCCCCGGCUAACUCCGUGCCAGCAGCCGCGGUAAUACGGAGGGGGCUAGCGUUGUUCGGAAUUACUGGGCGUAAAGCGUACGUAGGCGGUUUACCAAGUAAGGGGUGAAAUCCCAGGGCUUAACCCUGGAAUUGCCUUUUAGACUGGUAGACUUGAGACCGAGAGAGGUAAGGGGAAUUCCGAGUGUAGAGGUGAAAUUCGUAGAUAUUCGGAAGAACACCAGUGGCGAAGGCGCCUUACUGGCUCGGUACUGACGCUGAGGUACGAAAGCGUGGGGAGCAAAC